rnacentral:miRNA from 1 species
CAGAAGGCCUCGCCGAAUAUGACACUGUUGCGUAGCCUGACCUCUCCAAAAGAGUGAAUGGAUCUGACUACGCUCAGUGGAAUACCCGGAGAGUGCCUUCU